CAGUAAGCAACCAAGAAUACUGGGAGCCUGCCUGUGCAAACUGGACCUCAUACAACAAGGAUGAAACAAAAUGCACAUCAACAACCAGAGUGAUCCAGAAGAAGGCAGGAGAAGUAGUGAAUGACAACCAUGAACAACAGUGUUAUCCUUCUUUCACCAGCUAACUGAGAACUUGGAUUAGAGUUCUUCAUAAUCCUGGACUGGGCCAAAUCCUGACCAGAUGCUGUGGUGGUCAUGGA